rnacentral:rRNA from 1 species
GGGCCCGCACAAGCGGUGGAGCAUGUGGUUUAAUUCGAUGAUACGCGAGGAACCUUACCAGGGCUUAAAUGCAGAACGACAGAGGUGGAAACACCUCCUUCUUCGGACGGUCUGCAAGGUGCUGCAUGGUUGUCGUCAGCUCGUGCUGUGAAGUGUCGGGUUAAGUCCCAUAACGAGCGCAACCCCUAUUUCUAGUUGCCAGCGGUUCGGCCGGGGACUCUAGAGAAACUGCCAGCGUAAGCUGUGAGGAAGGUGGGGAUGACGUCAAAUCAUCACGGCCCUUACGUCCUGGGCUACACACGUGCUACAAUGGUAGGGACAGAGAGUUGCCAACCCGCGAGGGUGAGCUAAUCUUCAAACCCUAUCUCAGUUCGGAUCGGAGUCUGCAACUCGACUCCGUGAAGUUGGAAUCGCUAGUAA